rnacentral:rRNA from 1 species
CACAAGCGGUGGAGCAUGUGGUUUAAUUCGAAGCCAACGCGAAGAACCUUACCAGGUCUUGACAUCCCGAUGCUAUUUCUAGAGAUAGAAAGUUACUUCGGUACAUCGGUGACAGGUGGUGCAUGGUUGUCGUCAGCUCGUGUCGUGAGAUGUUGGGUUAAGUCCCGCAACGAGCGCAACCCCUAUUGUUAGUUGCCAUCAUUCAGUUGGGCACUCUAGCGAGACUGCCGGUAAUAAACCGGAGGAAGUGGGGAUGACGUCAAAUCAUCAUGCCCCUUAUGACCUGGGCUACACACGUGCUACAAUGGUUGGUACAGAGGGUUGCCAACCCGCGAGGGGGAGCUAAUCCUACAAAGCCGAUCGUAGUCCGGAUCGCAGUCUGCAACUCGACUGCGUGAAGUCGGAAUCGCUAGUAAUCGUAGAUCAGCAUGCUACGGUGAAUACGUUCCCGGGCCUU